AAUGGAGGAAACUCUGAUCCAGCGAUGCCGCGUGAAGGAAGACGGCCUAUGGGUUGUAAACUUCUUUUAUACAGGAAGAACCUUUCCACGUGUGGAAAGCUGACGGUACUGUAAGAAUAAGGAUCGGCUAACUCCGUGCCAGCAGCCGCGGUAAUACGGAGGAUCCAAGCGUUAUCCGGAAUUAUUGGGUUUAAAGGGUCCGCAGGCUGUUUGUUAAGUCAGGGGUGAAAUCCUACCGCUCAACGGUAGAACUGCCUUUGAUACUGGCAAACUUGAGUUAUUGUGAAGUAGUUAGAAUGUGUAGUGUAGCGGUGAAAUGCAUAGAUAUUACACAGAAUACCAAUUGCGAAGGCAGAUUACUAACAAUUAACUGACGCUGAGGGACGAAAGCGUGGGUAGCGAACAGGAUU
rnacentral:rRNA from 1 species